GUUCCCGUCGAUUAGUGGUCAGAUCAUCACGUUGUGGUGUUCUCUGCAGUAGAACACAGAACCGUGGGGACGAGGGCUCGACUCCCUCCGGGAACA